UCUGCUUUUACAAGUCCCGACCUUCGCCGUAAAACACCCAAGAUCGCCUUAAGUCCCGAUUAGUGCCUGUUUGUAAGUCUCCAGGGUGGGAGCAGUGAAUGGCCAAAGGGAAUCUUUAGAUCUACGGGUAUGAGUUUAAGGCAAGUAAGGCUUUCUAAGUAGACCUUCAAGAAAAAGAAUUUUUGUUUAAACAGUUAACAAAUUAGUCUUCUGUUUAGAUCGAUUUCACUGAUAGAUCAGGACCAAUCGAGUGAUCCUUUGUUUCAGAUUUCAGUCUGAUUUGUUUUUAAACAAAAAAUCUUUUACAAAACUUAAGAAAUUUUGAAGAUUUUGACCAAUUUUUCGGUGAAAAAAUUUUCUCCUCCUUCUUUAUAAACCAAAUUUUUGGGGUUGAUAGGGUUAUUUCCUGGAUAAAAAUUUUAAGGCGGAAUAGUAGGGGAUGGUGACUCAUCUGAGAAGAUGAUCAACAGCGCCUCACCGGCAUCCACAGGAGACGGACCAGUCAACGAAGAAGACGCCAGAGGAGUCUUCAGUCAACCGACAGGUGAUGGCCCAAAGCCAUCAGACAAGCUUUUGCUUUCCGUAAAGCAAAAGUCUUUUACUUUAGUAAAUGUAAAAGUAAAAGUAAAAGAAUAACUUUUGCUUUUACUUAAGUUAAAUGUUUUUAACUUAGUUAAAUGUUUCUUACAUUUACCAAUGUAAAAGUAAAUGUAAAAUGUUUCUUACGUUUUACUUUUACUUAAGUAAAUUACUUUUACUUCAGUUAAUGUAAUAGUGAUUCCUGCGUGAAUCAAAUAGUAAUUUACUUUUCAGUUUUCUAUUUAAACAACUCGAAGUGUUUAGAAUAGUUUAGGCUUAGUUACAGCCUCAAAGGCUUAAUUCAAUGUAAAGCCUCAGAGCUUUUCUUUCUAGAAAUCUCUUCCGAGGUCCUCUCCCUUCUCUCUAGUUAGUCGGAGACGAAGCUUUCAGCUUCGAUCUUCUUAGUUAGAAGAUGAAGAUGAAGUCCUUAAUACUUCGAUCUUCCCUCUCAAAUAUUUAGAUCUAGGAUAUACUGUAAUCCCUUCCCUAAAUGUUUAUAAAUAAAAGAAAGAGAUUACUUUACCGAUUCACCGGUCAUCUUCUUAAUCUUUUCUUUUUCUGUUUAAGUUUUUAUUUUAAAAACUUAUCUCCGCUGUUAUAUGGUAUCGGUGGUUUCGAUUAAAAACAGUUAGAUCUUGUUUUUAAAUGUUUUUUCAAACUUUCAGUUUUUCUUGCUCUACUUCUACAAGUCCCGACCUUCGCCGUAAAACACCCAAGAUCGCCUUAAGUCCCGACUAGUGCCUGUUUGUAAGUCUCAAUGGGGAGCAGUGAAUGGCCAAAGGGAAUCUUUAGAUCUACGGGUAUGAGUUUAAGGUAGGUAAGGCUUUCUAAGUAGACCUUCAAGAAAAAGAAUUUUUGUUUAAACAGUUAACAAAUUAGUCUUCUGUUUUAGAUCGAUUUCACUGAUAGAUUAGGACCAAUCGAGUGAUCCUUUGUUUCAGAUUUCAUCUGAUUUAUUUUUAAACAAAAAUCUUUUACAAAACUUUAAAAAUUUUGAAGAUUUGACCAAUUUUUCGGUGAAAUUUUUUUUUCUCCUCCUUCUUUUUGUAAACAAAAUUUUUGGGGGUGAAAGGGUUAUUUCCUGGAUAAAAAUUUUGAGGUGGAAAUGUAUGGGGAUGGUGACUCAUCUGAGAAGAUGAUCAACAGCACCUUCCGGCAUCCACAGGAGACGGACCAGUCAACCAAGAAGACGCCAGAGGAGUCUUCAGUCACCGACAGGUGAUGGCCCACGCCAUCAUCUCUUUUACUUUAGUAAAUGUAAAAGUAAAAGUAAAAGAAUAACUUUUGCUUUUACUUAAGUUAAAUGUUUUUAACUUUAGUUAAAUGUUUCUUACAUUUACCAAUGUAAAAGUAAAUGUAAAAUGUUUCUUACGUUUUACUUUUACUUAAGUAAAUUACUUUUACUUCAGUUAAUGUAAUAGUGAUUCCUGCGUGAAUCAAAUAGUAAUUUACUUUUCAGUUUUCUAUUUAAACAACUCGAAGUGUUUAGAGUAGUUUAGGCUUAGUUACAGCCUCAAAGGCUUAAUUCAAUGUAAAGCCUCAGAGCUUCUCUCCCUAGAAAGCUCUUCCGAGGUCCUCUCCCUUCUCUCUAGUUAGCCGGAGACGAAGCUUUCAGCUUCGAUCUUCUUAGUUAGAAGAUGAAGACGAAGUCCUUAAUACUUCGAUCUUCCCUCUCAAACAUUUAGAUCUAGGAUAUACUGUAAUCCCUUCCCUAAAUGUUUAUAAAUAAAAGAAAGAGAUUACUUUACCGAUUCACUGGACAUCUUCUUAAUCUUUUCUUUUUCUGUUUAAGUUUUUAUUUUAAAAACUUAUCUCCGCUGUUAUAUGGUAUCGGUGGUUUCGAUUAAAAACAGUAAGAUCUUGUUUUUAAAUGUUUUUUCAAACUUUCCGUUUUUCUUGCUCUACUUCUACAAGUCCCGACCUUCGCCGUAAAACACCCAAGAUCGCCUUAAGUCCCGACUAGUGCCUGUUUGUAAGUCUCAAUGGGGAGCAGUGAAUGGCCAAAGGGAAUCUUUAGAUCUACGGGUAUGAGUUUAAGGCAAGUAAGGCUUUCUAAGUAGACCUUCAAGAAAAAGAAUUUUUGUUUAAACAGUUAACAAAUUAGUCUUCUGUUUAGAUCGAUUUCACUGAUAGAUCAGGACCAAUCGAGUGAUCCUUUGUUUCAGAUUUCAGUCUGAUUUGUUUUUAAACAAAAAAUCUUUUACAAAACUUAAGAAAUUUUGAAGAUUUUGACCAAUUUUUCGGUGAAAAAAUUUUCUCCUCCUUCUUUAUAAACCAAAUUUUUGGGGUUGAUAGGGUUAUUUCCUGGAUAAAAAUUUUAAGGCGGAAUAGUAGGGGAUGGUGACUCAUCUGAGAAGAUGAUCAACAGCGCCUCACCGGCAUCCACAGGAGACGGACCAGUCAACGAAGAAGACGCCAGAGGAGUCUUCAGUCAACCGACAGGUGAUGGCCCAAAGCCAUCAGACAAGCUUUUGCUUUCCGUAAAGCAAAAGUCUUUUACUUUAGUAAAUGUAAAAGUAAAAGUAAAAGAAUAACUUUUGCUUUUACUUAAGUUAAAUGUUUUUAACUUAGUUAAAUGUUUCUUACAUUUACCAAUGUAAAAGUAAAUGUAAAAUGUUUCUUACGUUUUACUUUUACUUAAGUAAAUUACUUUUACUUCAGUUAAUGUAAUAGUGAUUCCUGCGUGAAUCAAAUAGUAAUUUACUUUUCAGUUUUCUAUUUAAAGAAACUCAAGUGUUAGAGUUUCUUUAGGCUUAAUUCAAUGUAAAGCCUCAGAGCUUCUCUCUCUAGAAAGCUCUUCCGAGGUCCUCUCCCUUCUCUCUUAGUUAGCCGGAGACGAAGCUUUCAGCUUCGAUCUUCUUAGUUAGAAGAUGAAGACGAAGUCCUUAAUACUUCGAUCUUCCCUCUCAAACAUUUAGAUCUAGGAUAUACUGUAAUCCCUUCCCUAAAUGUUUAUAAAUAAAAGAAAGAGAUUGCUUUACCGAUUCACCGGUCAUCUUCUUAAUCUUUUCUUUUUUCUGUUAAAGUUUUUCUUUUAAAAACUUAUCUCCGCUGUUAUAUGGUAUCAGAGCCACACGGUUGGUUCUUGAUGCUAUCGGUGGUUUCGAUUAAAAACAGUUUGAUUUGUUUACUUAAAUGUUUUUUCAAACUUUUAUUUUUCUUGCUCUGCUUUUACAAGUCCCGACCUUCGCCGUAAAACACCCAAGAUCGCCUUAAGUCCCGAUUAGUGCCUGUUUGUAAGUCUCCAGGGUGGGAGCAGUGAAUGGCCAAAGGGAAUCUUUAGAUCUACGGGUAUGAGUUUAAGGCAAGUAAGGCUUUCUAAGUAGACCUUCAAGAAAAAGAAUUUUUGUUUAAACAGUUAACAAAU
rnacentral:lncRNA from 1 species